AACGAACGCUGGCGGCAUGCCUAACACAUGCAAGUCGAACGAGACCUUCGGGUCUAGUGGCUCACGGGUGCGUAACGCGUGGGAACCUGCCCUUAGGUUCGGAAUAACUCCCCGACAGGGGUGCUAAUACCGGGUAAUGUCUUCGGACCAAAGAUUUAUCGCCUUUGGAUGGGCCCGCGUUGGUUUAGCUUGUUGGUAGGGUAAAAGCCUACGAAGGCGACGAUCCAUAGCUGGUCUGAGAGGAUGAGCAGCCACACUGGGACUGGGACACGGUCCAGACUCCUACGGGAGGCAGCAGUGGGGAAUACUGGACAAUGGGCGAAAGCCUGAUCCAGCAAUGCCGCGUGAGUGAUGAAGGCCUUAGGGUUGUAAAGCUCUUUUACCCGGGAUGAUAAUGACAGUACCGGGAGAAUAAGCACCGGCUAACUCCGUG
rnacentral:rRNA from 1 species